UACGUAGGUGGCAAGCGUUGUCCGGAAUUAUUGGGCGUAAAGCGCGCGCAGGCGGUCCUUUAAGUCUGAUGUGAAAGCCCACGGCUCAACCGUGGAGGGUCAUUGGAAACUGGGGGACUUGAGUACAGAAGAGAAGAGUGGAAUUCCACGUGUAGCGGUGAAAUGCGUAGAGAUGUGGAGGAACACCAGUGGCGAAGGCGACUACUUUGGUCUGUAACUGACGCUGAGGCGCGAAAGCGUGGGGAGCAAACAGG
rnacentral:rRNA from 1 species